rnacentral:lncRNA from 1 species
ACCAUCCGGAUUGCAGGCACUGCCGCUCCGGUCCCAUCCUCGUCCUCCCCAGGCCCUUUUCGAACUCAGCUCGGCCAGGCCUCGAAAAACUUGGAGUGGGGUUCCCACUGCAGAGACGCUCCCCGGAGCGCGGGGUCACUGGUUGGGUGGGGAGGGGACCCAGUUCUCGUCUCCUUCCCCGAUCCUGGGGGGAGCGAAGAGGAGAGGGAUCAGGGGAGCGGGGAGGGUCCUUGGAGCGCGAAGACCGACCCUUCACCAGGAGGUGCCCUGCGUCCACGGCUUGGGAGACAGACAAGAGUCACAGCGGCGCCCACGCCUGGGUCGACGCAGGGAACCUGGACCUGGGCCCCUCCUGCCCCAGGACGGCGGGCAGUCCUUCGCCUCCCACCUCCUCCUGAGCGAGGGCAAGAUCCGUCCCGAGCCGCGCUCCUCCCAAGACCGCUCAGCUCCGGCUCCUGCGCCUUGCGCGAAGGGUGCUUGGUGCUGCCGGGUGAGGACCCCGCCACCUGCAGUCCCCCUCCCCACCCCAGAUCAGCACUCCCGCCCAGUCCGGCCCGGCCCUGGCACCUCGGUGUCCGCUCGCUGGCCUCGCCUCCACUUGUCCUGGCAGGCGCGCGGGGGGCUCGGCGUCCGGUGCUUCCUCCUCCACCGCCCAGCUCCCGCGCUGCCCUGUUUCCUGUUCAACAAUAUAGUGAGGGAGGCACCGGCGGAGAGCACCCGGCAGAACUUCCUCCCGGGGCUGGGGCUGCGGCUGCGAGAGACAAUCCCCGGUGUCCUGGCUUCCUGUCCUCUCUGGGACGGGCCAGCGCCCGAGGAGCGCAGACGCCACCCCCUUCCCCUGCACCUCCCGGGGAUCCUGGGCCACACCUGGCUGUCUCCUGGAGGAAGGCAGCAGAGCCAGGACGGUGGGAUGAGCGGGGAGGAAGGCGGGCCAGAUUUCCCUCCACCGCUGCUCUACUCCAUCCCCUUUCCCCUACCUCCUGGCCUGGAUCCUUGUGGGGGAGGAGCCCCCCCUCCCCGACCCCCAGCCAAUCCGUCAAAGCUCAGAGCAACCUCCUGGGGUUGAACUCAAGAUGCUCACCUUAUCUCUGCAUCUCAGUUUGCUUUCCUGUAAACUGGGGACAGUAA